UUAGAUUUUUUAUUUAUUCAUGGUUUCUGCUUGUUCAGGAAUUUAGCAAACAAUAGCCUUAACGGUGCAAUACCUGAAUUUUUAGCUGAUCUACCUAACUUGGUAUCACUCGAUUUAAGGGACAACAACUUAAGUGGGCCAGUUCCAAGGGCUUUACUAGAUAAGAAUAACAGCGGGUCCCUUUUUUUGAGUAUAGAAGGCAAUCCAAGGCUAUGUUUAUCCAAUUCAUGUGAUCAGAGUGGAGAUAGCAAAUUGAGCGUACACAAAAGACAUCAAAAGGUUUCUUUGGUUGUAAUAAUAGCAUCAUCUCUUGGAGGAGUAUUGGUCAUAGUUUCUUUAUUGGUUAUGGUGCUGCUAUUGAAGAGAAGGAAACUUCGAGGUAAGCUCAUAUUUAUUGACCCACUUAGUUCUGACCAUCUAAUUUGAACUUAUGGAUUUGCAAAGAAGGCAUUGACAGACUACUAGUACUAGGACUGCCCUUUCUUACUUAUUCUCUUAAUGUGACCUCCUUUAUUCCUAGGGAGUCACUGCAGAUGCUUUUUCUCUCUUAUGACCUAAGUUUCUCAAAAGCAGCCUAUGUUUUCCAAGAAAUGAAAAAAUCACUUGUGAUUGAAUUUGUUCUAACAAAUGGCUUUUAUCUUGGAUAUUGUUUAUGGUGUCGCAUUAUGUUUCCUUAUCAAACUCUGUACUGUUUGAUGAAUUCGAACCAUUCUCACUUUUUCUUUGUUUAUAGUUUUUCUGAGAUAACUUAAAUUCUUACCUACACAUAGCUAUUAUAUUUCAAACACACCAUAGGGAUAGUCCACAACUUCCAUUUGUAUGUUAAACAAGAACCCAUUGCCUUCACAGAGGCAUACCAAACACCAUCCCAAAUGACUAAAAAGCUGGAAGAUUUUUGACAAAAACCAAUCUUACCUGAAGCUAGUCAAAUAUGUCCUCAAGCUUUUGGCCGAUCAAUCUUGUUAGAUUCAGAGAUGGUUUGCAAAAGUUUCAUUAAUUAAAAUAAAGGAUUAAUCUUCCACGUGAACACACACACACAAAAAGGUUGAAAAUAAGAAUCAGCUCAGGACUUGACCUAGUCGCAAGAUAAUUCGACUCAUGGUCAGUCAACUAGACCGAUUUUCUUUGUUUAACAAUAUAUAAUGGAAGAUUCAAUUGAGUCUCAUGAUAAAGCACGAGACUUGUUGAGUUGCGGAUUCGAGUUGACUUGGCAAAACCGACUCAACAAGUUUUAAGGACUACACAUACACAGAGAACUGACAGGGGUACACAAACUACAUAAUUACCUUUGAAUAAAUAGCAUAAAAAUAAAUACACCUGAAUAAUAAUGUUCAUGACUAUUUCUUCUGUUUUGAUGACUUACAGCACUAGGACAAGUAUUUGUACCCUUACUAACACCGAUUCUUCUGGAUUCUUCUACUUCUUUGCAAACCAUUAACUACAUCAACUUAGACUCGAUCUCCUUAAUAAUGGAAUUGCUACUUUAUCAUGAGAUUUAAUAGAUUUUCUGAACUUUCUAGAGAUGGUGGGAAGUGCCUACCUUAGAAAGAACAGCACCUUGUUGUAUGACCAUUUUGGCUCGAGUGACAAGGGUUGAAAUUAAUCUAAAAGCCUGGUCUACUACAUGUUAAGGGAACAGGAUAUGUUUCUAGAAUGGAAGCACCAACAUUUGUGUUGUAUUUCCUCAUAAUGCAUUGUAGCCUAAUGUGAGGUACAUAAAUAAAACAACAUCCGGUUUUAAACUUUACAUGGAAAGAAUUGACCUUAAAAUUGAGGAAAGGAAAAGAUGACUUGCAUGGUGCCAUGUAAAAGAGGCACAAGGAAAAUAUAUAGAGUCUAACAGGUAUAAUAAUGAAACCAUAAUCAGAUUAUAGUCACAACCAACACUUCAAUGAUAUGGUCAGCAUCAUAAGUUUGGUACUAUGGUCCGCAUCAUGAUCCACACAGUUGCAUAUUUCGGAACCAAAAUUUGGAUGCACCAGUGACCACCUGCCAGGGUUUUAUUCAGUCCUUUUACUAAAGUGGAAUCAUUUCCCAUAUCCCCUAGUUUCCAGAGGAUUUGUACAUAAUGCAUACAGUUAAUCCAUUCAGUACCUCUGAAAUGUGUGACGAAUCAUCUAAAAGAGCACCUCAACUUAUAGCUUUGAAAUGUACAAACUGUCUUCAUUAUGUCAAGAAAGGCCAGUUAAAGAAAUUGACAAAUUGCAGUUGGAACCACAAUAUCAAAUGUCCAUUGGUGUCAAAUGCAUAAGCUCACAUGGUUCUAUUUUCAUCCCAAAAUUUCAGGUCGAAUAUUGCAGCCUCAAAACCAAGCUAACACUAGUUUUCCUAUGUAAUCAACUCCAUGGAAGUUCAAGCUGAUUAAUCAAAAUUACUUUUUUUCAAUUCUAGGUCGUCCACAAAAAGGGUACAUCACACCCAUCGAACUUACAACAAAGUGCAUUUGCAAUUCCUGAUUCCUUUUUUAAGUGCUUGGAAUUUUAAUUCAUAAAAAUGAAAUACUCAUUAACAGAAGGCAGAAUCGGCAGAUACAGGGUUGCCUCCUGGUUUAGUGGCUAGAGUGUGAUUUGUCAAAGGCUUCGCUAAGAAAAUAGU